AGAAACGGGCUAUGAAUGUGCAGUAAAGCUUCUCGCCGCAGGGUGUUGUUUUUGUUUCCCUAAGUCAAUUGCAUGCCAGCGAAAGACGUGCUGGAUCGACAGCUCUGGAGACGGAGGGCCCGUCUUUAUUCCACCAAACAGUUAAUACAUCUUCAAUUAGUUUAUUGUAAGAUUGGCUACAAGCGUUGUCCUUGGUGAGAGAUCCGAGAUACAAUUGACCUGGGGGCUUUGAGGUCUACUGAUGAAAAGGUCCUUAUAAGAGCUAGAGAUUCGAUAACAAGAGACAGUUCUUCCCUCCUCCCCGCUCUUCUCUGAACCCUCUCCAAUCAACAUCCUUCUUGAAUUGUGGGCACCAGAACUGGACACAGGAUUCCAGCAGCGCUCGCACCAGCGCCAAAUACAGAGGUGGUGCUAGAAAGCAGGGACAUCACGCCUGCCUGAGAUCUGCAUCUGAACUGAGUUUUCUAUCAGAAAAAGGAUCCCAGAAAAUUGGGAGUGGACCACAUCCACCCUGACUGAAUUGGCCUUGUCAACAUUGGUUCUCCACUUGUAAGAAAGAUCUUUCGCCACCAGCUGGUAAUGAAGCUAACAUCCCCACCUGUCUUGAGGCUGUUGGAUUGCUGCUUGAUUUUCAACGGCGCUUGCCCAGUGCACAGAGGGAGAAUAGGUGACCGAUGGUACCGUACCACCAACACAAAGAAGAGGAGCUGGAUGGAGGGUGGAAGUUCCAUUUCGUGAUGGGUUUCGAGAUUUUGACAUUUGGUUUCGUUGCAGUUCAGAGCGAAAACUGAAAAUUUCAAAAUUCUCUGUAAAGAGAAAUUUAACCCACUUCCACCACCACACCUUCUUUUCAGGUUGAUCAAAUGGUUCAUUUCAAUGUGAACUUUUUAAAAAGUGGGAAUACACCGUAGAAUACAAAA